rnacentral:lncRNA from 1 species
CUUGUGUUGCCCACAUUCGAGCCUUCCUUAUUGACAGCGACCUCUCAGCAAUCCUCAAAUCCUAAUUCUCUGCGGUGCUUCAGCUCCUUUCUUCUUGCUCUCCUUCUCACAGGCAAYCUUUGUGGACUCUGCUGUUCCCAUGUUGCAGGGUGUGGGCUUGGCUGUGACCGAGAUCCUGAGCAGACCCCGAAUGAGCAUGCUAAAGGGCAACGCAAAACCCAGAGACAUCAUUUUUUAUUGUAUGAGCAAAAGCUUUUGGCUGCCGGAGAAGAGUUCUCCUCUGUUGCAUAUGGAACUGCUGCAAAGUAUUUGCCAAUGCCUUGACGUUCUUCCACCCGAAAGGGAAUUAAUCACUGAGAGGGCAUGA